rnacentral:rRNA from 1 species
AUUGAACGCUGGCGGCAUGCCUUACACAUGCCAGUCGAACGGCAGCACGGGUGCUUGCACCUGGUGGCGAGUGGCGAACGGGUGAGUAAUACAUCGGAACAUGUCCUGUAGUGGGGGAUAGCCCGGCGAAAGCCGGAUUAAUACCGCAUACGAUCUACGGAUGAAAGCGGGGGCCCUUCGGGCCUCGCGCCAUAGGGUUGGCCGAUGGCUGAUUAGCUAGUUGGUGGGGUAAAGGCCUACCAAGGCGACGAUCAGUAGCUGGUCUGAGAGGACGACCAGCCACACUGGGUCUGAGACACGGCCCAGACUCCUACGGGAGGCAGCAGUGGGGAAUUUUGGACAAUGGGCGAAAGCCUGAUCCAGCAAUGCCGCGUGUGUGAAGAAGGCCUUCGGGUUGUAAAGCACUUUUGUCCGGAAAGAAAACCUUGGCCCUAAUACGGUCGGGGGAUGACGGUACCGGAAGAAUAAGCACCGGCUAACUACGUG